rnacentral:rRNA from 1 species
GACGAACGCUGGCGGCGUGCCUAAUACAUGCAAGUCGACCUUAGUGGCGAAUGGGUGAGUAACACGUUGGUAACCUGCCCAUCAGAAGGGGAUAACACUUGGAAACAGGUGCUAAUACCGUAUACGGACGGAUGGACCCGCGGUGCAUUAGCUAGUUGGUGAGGUAACGGCUCACCAAGGCCACGAUGCAUAGCAGACCGGAGAGGGGGAGCAGCCACAUCGGGACUGAGACACGGCCCAGACUCCAACGGGAGGCAGCGGUAGGGAAUGUUCGGUAAUGGACGAAAGUCUGACCGGACAACGCCGAGUGAGUGAAGGAGUUAUGCGGAUAGUAAACCUCUGUUGUUAGAAAAGCGGUAUCUAACCAAAAAGCCACGGCUAACUACGUGCCAGCAGCCGCGGUAAUAC